rnacentral:tRNA from 1 species
GCCCUCGUAGCUCAGCGGACAGAGCGCCAGGUUCCGAACCUGGUCGUCGCUGGUUCGAUUCCAGCCGAGGGCA